rnacentral:rRNA from 1 species
AUUGAACGCUGGCGGCAAGCCUAACACAUGCAAGUCGAACGAGUGGCGGACGGGUGGGUAAUGUCUGGGAAACUGACUGAUGGAGGGGGAUAAGUACUGGAAAAGGUAGCUAAUACCGCAUAACACAGGAUGUGCCCAGAUGGGAUUAGCUAGUAGGUGGGGUAACGGCUCACCUAGGCGACGAUCCCUAGCUGGUCUGAGAGGAUGACCAGCCACACUGGAACUGAGACACGGUCCAGACUCCUACGGUAGGCAGCAGGGGGGAAUAUUGCACAAUGGGCGCAAGCCUGAUGCAGCCAUGCCGCGUGUAUGAAGAAGGCCUUCGGGUUUUAAAGUACUUUCAGCGGGGAGGCGUUACCCGCAGAAGAAGCACCGGCUAACUCCGUGCCAGCAGCCGCGGUAAUUC